rnacentral:rRNA from 1 species
UACGAGGGGGGCAAAUGUUGUUCGGAAUCACUGGGCGUAAAGGGAGCGUAGGCGGGUUUUAAGUCAGGUGUUUAAUCCCGGGGCCCAACCCCGGACCGGCACUUGAAACUGGGAAUCUUGAAUAGUGGAGAGGUCAGUGGAAUUGGGGGUGUAGCGGUGGAAUGCGUAGAGAUCCCCAAGAACACCAGUUGCGAAGGCGGCUGACUGGACACAUAUUGACGCUGAGGCUCGAAAGCAUGGGGAGCAAACAGGG